UGGGGGGAUUAGUGGCGAACGGGUGAGUAACACGUGAGUAACCUGCCCUUGACUCUGGGAUAAGCCUGGGAAACCGGGUCUAAUACUGGAUACGACCUUCUGGCGCAUGCCAUGUUGGUGGAAAGCUUUUGUGGUUUUGGAUGGACUCGCGGCCUAUCAGCUUGUUGGUGGGGUAAUGGCCUACCAAGGCGACGACGGGUAGCCGGCCUGAGAGGGUGACCGGCCACACUGGGACUGAGACACGGCCCAGACUCCUACGGGAGGCAGCAGUGGGGAAUAUUGCACAAUGGGCGCAAGCCUGAUGCAGCGACGCCGCGUGAGGGAUGAAGGCCUUCGGGUUGUAAACCUCUUUCAGUAGGGAAGAAGCCGCUCCUUUGGGGGUGGUGACGGUACCUGCAGAAGAAGCGCCGGCUAACUACGUGCCAGCAGCCGCGGUAAUACGUAGGGCGCAAGCGUUAUCCGGAAUUAUUGGGCGUAAAGAGCUCGUAGGCGGUUUGUCGCGUCUGCCGUGAAAGUCCGGGGCUUAACUCCGGAUCUGCGGUGGGUACGGGCAGACUAGAGUGCAGUAGGGGAGACUGGAAUUCCUGGUGUAGCGGUGAAAUGCGCAGAUAUCAGGAGGAACACCGAUGGCGAAGGCAGGUCUCUGGGCUGUAACUGACGCUGAGGAGCGAAAGCAUGGGGAGCGAACAGGAUUAGAUACCCUGGUAGUCCAUGCCGUAAACGUUGGGCACUAGGUGUGGGGGACAUUCCACGUUUUCC
rnacentral:rRNA from 1 species